rnacentral:rRNA from 1 species
UACGUAGGGGGCAAGCGUUGUCCGGAUUUAUUGGGCGUAAAGGGCGCGUAGGCGGGAUGGUAAGUCGGUCGUGAAAUCCCUCGGCUCAACCGAGGAACGUCGAUCGAUACUACCGUUCUUGAGGAUUGCAGAGGAGACUGGAAUUCCCGGUGUAGCGGUGAAAUGUGUAGAGAUCGGGAGGAACACCGGUGGCGAAGGCGGGUCUCUGGGCAAUUCCUGACGCUGAGGCGCGAAAGCGUGGGGAGCAAACGGG